UGCGAGUGGACUUUUCUGGGCAUCUCACGUCUGACCUGAGUAGCCACGGAUCUUGUCCCUCCCUGAGGGUCUAAGAAGAGGCGACUGCCCUGACAUUUCGGAAGAACAAGGUUCUGAAAUGAAAGCAAACCACGGAAAUGACAGCUCUCAGGGAUCAGGACCCAGCAUACCGCUCUGCAUGGAGCCGCCCUGAAGCAGACCUCAGCCUUCUCUUUUGGAAGCUGACCCAGGGCAGGGCUGGGAACUUGGUGGGUCAGUCCCAUUUUGAGCUCAGAGCUGCCUUCAAAGACAUAUGCCCUCAAUAUCUGAGUUGCAAAUACAGUGUGUAAAGCAUUGUUCUCAGCACUGUGGGGGAUAUAAAGAUAAAACUGAGAAAUCCUCAUCUAUGCCACAGCAGAAAAUUGGUGUGCAAAUCAAAUCUAAUCAGUCAGGAAAGAGUUGUGGAUACAUUAUUAUUUAGAGAUAUGAAGAAACAGCCAGAAAAGCAAGAAGUAGUUCCUUCUGGGGAAUAAGGAUGGAAGUGGGAAAAAAAGCUUUUAGCCAAGUACUUAUAUAACUUUGAUGUAAAAACCAGAAAAGAUGAAACAGAUAUGGGCUCAGUCUUCUGAGGGAUUUCGAGACAGGAUGGGAAUAGAGCGAGUGUCAGAAAACUCUUAGGUCUUUUAUCUCAAAAAGUGGGCACCUUACAAAGGAUGCUGUGAGGCUUAGAUGAGUGAGCAGACUGUAAGGUGUUACACAGGUAUUAUUUUUCUACUUCAUUUCUGACAUAGUGCAGAGGGCUGCGGACAGAAUGGGCCACGACAGUCCUCUCUGAGCAGGGAAGCAGAUGGGGGCAGGGGAUCAUAGUGGGGCAGCAAAAUGGCCUUUGAGGAGCAUAACCCUUGGGUGGCAACUGUCACCCCACUUGCAGGGCCAGGGGACAGAGAAGCCCAGCAGAAUCUGGGGCCAAAAUUAGCAGCUGCACUUCAGCUAAGGGGGCAGAGGGAAAGCCCACCCUCUGCCAGAUGGUCCUUUGUCGAGAGAAUUCUUGCAAAUUCAAGGUAAUGACACUUAGUAGCUUGUACUGUUGAGCAGUAUGUGGGGAGUGGGAGCCAGGAGGCGAAAGGGCCUGUGUUGACGCAUUGGGGGGAACAGUCACUCAGGGUGUGGAUACACUCCCUCAUGGGCACUGGCAUCUGUGUGUACUCCCAAACCUCCAGACACAGGCAGGGGUUUUGUAGUUGAGGUCUCUAGACCCGUAACAUGUAACUUCUUAUGUAAGUGUACGAUGUCGAUAGUUUGCAGAAUGUUAGUAUUUCAAAGUUGCUUAGCUCUGCUCUAUGAAUUACCUCUGUUGGAGCAUUUACAUAUAUUUAGACUAUUAAUUUAAACAUUGUUUUAAGCCAAUUCUCUUAAUAUAUACGUUUUUAUUUCAAAGUGGAUUGAGGAUGCCGCCUGAGAAUGAGACAAGGACACUUGUUCUCUGACCUGUAGGCCCAGGGGCUGACCUUCUCUAACCUGAUUUCAUAUGAAUAGUGCCCAAUACACAAUUGAUGUUCAACAGAUGUUUUCUGAACAGAAAAGAGUGGAUAUCCUAGGCAUUCAGGGGGUUUAAAAAGAAAACAGACAAACAUUUGGCUUAGUUCAAGCAAUUCUCCCUCUGGAUCAUUAGGCUUCUUAAGAUCCUCUUUGGGUUUAGCUGACAGAGCUGCCUUCUGGUUCACUAAUUCUUUCUUUGUCUCUAAUAUGCUACUCUAUCUUUAUGUUUGAGUUUCUAAUUACAAAUUUUUUCAUUUCCGUAAGUUUUACUUGGAUCAUUCUCAAAACUGCCCAGUUAUACUGUCAAUAAUUUCAUUUUUAUUUCUUCACAUAUAUUAGACAGAUGAGUCUUUUGGGUUUGAUCCUACAGUUUGGCUGUUUCUGCUGACAUUCCCUCAUGGUGGCUGUGUCCUUACGUGUUAAGUGAUUUUUGCUUGGGAGUUCAUGUUUGGAAGUUUAUCUGUGAUAUUUUUGAGGCCUAGUUUUAAAAUGUGUUUCUUUACGGAAGACUUGCAUUUAGUUUUGUGAUUUUUACACCACAAUGAUAGUGUGAAGUUGGGCCCCAAACUCACAUGAGCAAGGCCUCAUGAUUGGAAAUUCUUGGGGAGAUUUUCCCCCACUCUACCGAGAGCCAAAAAGCAUGCAUCUCUACCAUCUCCCUCUUGGGUGUUUUUUGCCUCUUAGUUGACCCAGUGAGAUCCAAACUUAUUUGAAGGUCCCUAAACAGACCUUCCAUUGGGCUCCAGCUUCACCUUUCAGUCCCCAAGUGCCGGUCAAUUACCCUAGAGCCUACUGAUGAUCAGCAGAUAUCCCAUGUCCAGCAAUGGGUUUAUGCUUUUCUUAGUGGUUGGCCUCUGGGGAGUUCCCUUAUUUUCCCACCAGUUCUUUAAAAAAGACAUUUUAUUCAGCCUUUUCAGGUGUGCUAUACUGGGAGGGGUUUCUGUGAAAAAUCUAUAAAUGUAGUAGGAAGUCUGGGGUUUGGGUUUCUAGAUGUGAGUCCUAAAACUCCACAGGGCACGGAUCUAUCUGGUCUUUUUCAACCUCCAGCUCAGCCUUUCUGGGAAUGUCAGUUACCUGCAUAGAAGCUUCGCAAGUCCGUGUCCAGACAGUUCUCCAGGAAGCGCCUCAGAGACCGGUCAUAAAAGAAGACGUCCUUGUCGGGUCCAGAGAAAUUUCUGCCAUACUCCAUGUUGAUGACGAAGAGCCCGUGUCUGGCCUGCCUUCCUGUGAUUGCCUCCAGCUGGGCCAGCAUCUGCAUGGGGAACUCCUCCAGGAAGCGACCAACAGCGUUCAGACUCUGAUCAGCCCCAUGGUAUUCAAGUUACAGCUGACUGCUGACUUACACCUGGGACAGAUUCCAGAAAGCUCAGAGUAACCUGCAGUGGUAUCUGGGGAAAGGGUGAUCCAGGCCGGAAGAACAGUAUGGAGAAGCCCUAGGAGGGAGGGCAUGGCUUGUGUUCGAGGGGUAGGAAGGCUGGUGUGCCUGGGGUAGGCGGGGAGGAGCAGGUCAAGGAGGGCCCGUGUGUGCCAUGACAGGAACUUCUGGUUCCAUCUGGGCUGAGAAGGGAAGCCAUUGGGGUCUCUGGAGAGUACCGAGCAAAGGUGAAUUUGAGUGACCCAUGUUUUAAAAGGAUCACCCGGCCACUGCGUUGUGAGACAACAGGACAAAGGUGAGAGGCUGGUGGCCCCAACCAAGGUGGCAGCUGUGGAGCUGGUGAGAAGUGGUCAGGUUCUAGAAAAAUUUGAAGGCUGAGGUUUACAGAUGCUCGAAUGGGUCAAAUGGGUGUGAAGAAGGGCGGAGUCGGGGAUGAUGGGAGGUGUUUGGGUUGAGCAUGGAAUUUCCUGCCUG